ACAGGACAGGAAGAUCGGUGAUGCACAGCUGUCGAAUCAAACACGCUCACACACAGACACACACACGAAAGUGACCGGCAUAAUGUGCAGACAACGGAGAAGGAAGAGCAGAAGUGGAAAGCACAGCGAUGAAGAACUUUCAGGAACUUGGACACACACGGGGGAGGAAGAUUGGAGAAGGACAGAGGCAAGCACACACGCACCUCGGAGAAAGGAGAAUUGAGGAUGAGGGGGUACGCUAAAGGAAAGGACGGCAGUAGAAAGAGAAGAAUGUCACAAGCAAAGAAAAAAAAAAAACAAGAAUAUCCAGUCGAAGUUACCAUGACGUACGUCUCACCGCUCCACACACAUUGCCUUUUAGGUCCUCGGUUUGGUAUGAAUACUGGUUGUAAAGAAGCCCAAGUCAAAUGUUCAUUUCAGUCUAUGCUGCGGGCUGCUAACAAAAUGGAUGUUCAUAAUUUGGACAGCCUUUAUUUAAACCAUGCAAACUUUUUUGACCCAGCCAACUGGAACCAGGACUGGAAUCGCUCCAAUUCAAACGAUGCCCAACCCUAGUCCCGCCUCAGAGAUGAUGUGUUAAACUGUGUUUAGUGCUUUUCCUCGUUUUGUUUAAGACUCUCAGCUGGUAUUGACCAACUUUUUGAUGAAAAAGGAUUUGGAUCUUGUGUGGCUGAUGAUGUGCAUUUCAGUCUGUCUAUUUGUGCUGUUUGACAAGAAGGAGCACUGAGUGACGAUGCAGUCUGCGAUGUUAGUUUCUCAUGCGAGACACCAGCUGACUUUUCACUGACCAGCUAGCAAAAGGUAGAUGAUUGUUUGGCGUUAAUGUUUGACAUCAACCACGGAUGUUAUGUCAUCUUUCAGGUGUGCGACAAUGUUAAAGAACUACGUCUAAGGUACAUCAGUGGCAUGUUUAAUAUACCUUCUACAUCAUUUCUCAUUCGAGUCAAGAGAUUGUUUAAAGUUGUGUUCUUUCAAAACAUAUGCUUAUAAUGGUGUGACAAUGCAUUCUAUAAAAAUGUUACUUGGAACU